GAUCGAAAGAUGAAAAGCACUUUAGAAAGAGAGUUAGACAGUCACGUGAAAGUGAGGAAAGGGUAGCGCUCGCAACCAGACUUGCCAUGCGAGUGAUCAGCCGGUGUUCUCACCGGUGCACUCGCCAGUGGUCAGGCCAGCAUCGGUCCGGGCGACAGGACAAAAUCUCCCGGAAAGUGGCUCCCUUCGGGGAGUGUUAUAGCCGGGGGAGCAACACGGCCCGCCUGGACCGAGGACCGCGCUUCGCGCUAGGAAGCUGGGGUAAUGGUAGCAAGCGACCCGUCGGGAAACACGGACCAAGGAGUGUAACAUCCAUGCGAGGGUUUGGGGGUCAAACCCAUGCGGGUAAUGAAAGUGAACGGAGGGGGGAACCCUUCAGGGUGCACCAUCGACCGAUCCUGAUGUGUUCGGAUGGAUUUGAGUAAGAGCAUGGCUGUUGGGACCCGAAAGAUGGUGAAUUAUGCCUGAAUAGGGUGAAGCCAGAGGAAACUAUGGAGGAGGCUCGCAGCGGUUCUGACGUGCAAAUCGAUAGUCAAAUUUGGGUAUAGGGGCGAAAGACUAAUCGAACCAUCUGUCACUAGAUGGCAUACGGGCACUCGAUGUCUUCGUAGUCCCCGGUCCCGGGGGCGACAUCGCCGGUCUUACGGGGACGCCUUCAGGCUACCCGGAGUGGGCCCCUGGGCCCAUCAACAGAGUAAGUGGCGGUGGCUGUGGCCCCAAGCGCGGUUAGGAAUAGCCGU
rnacentral:rRNA from 1 species